UGAGAGAAUUCUGAUCAGAUCCAGGUUCAGGUCGGUGCUGCCAACAGGUUAGAUUUAAAUAAAAUUCAAAUAAAACCCUCAUCUUCAUUUUUCUUUUUCUUCUUUUUUAACAGAGCCCUAUGAAGUGAAGACAAAAG